GAAAACGACUGCUAAGACUGGAUAGGAGAUAAGAAGGCAUCUUCUUCUUUUUAAAAGACCUAGCAAUAGGUAUGCUUAGGGAGGAGCUUGCGUCACAUUAGUUAGUUGGUGGGGUAAAGGCCUACCAAGACUAUGAUGUGUAGCCGGGCUGAGAGGUUGAACGGCCACAUUGGGACUGAGACACGGCCCAAACUCCUACGGGAGGCAGCAGUAGGGAAUUUUCGGCAAUGGAGGAAACUCUGACCGAGCAACGCCGCGUGAACGAUGAAGUAUUUCGGUACGUAAAGUUCUUUUAUUAGGGAAGAAUAAAUGAUGGAAAAAUCAUUCUGACGGUACCUAAUGAAUAAGCCCCGGCUAACUAUGUGCCAGCAGCCGCGGUAAUACAUAGGGGGCAAGCGUUAUCCGGAAUUAUUGGGCGUAAAGGGUGCGUAGGCGGUUAAAUAAGUUUAUGGUCUAAGUGCAAUGCUCAACAUUGUGAUGCUAUAAAAACUGUUUAGCUAGAGUAAGAUAGAGGCAAGUGGAAUUCCAUGUGUAGUGGUAAAAUGCGUAAAUAUAUGGAGGAACACCAGUAGCGAAGGCGGCUUGCUGGGUCUUUACUGACGCUGAGGCACGAAAGCGUGGGGAGCAAACAGGAUUAGAUACCCUGGUAGUCCACGCCGUAAACGAUGAGUACUAAACGUUGGGUAAAACCAGUGUUGAAGUUAACACAUUAAGUACUCCGCCUGAGUAGUACGUACGCAAGUAUGAAACUUAAAGGAAUUGACGGGACUCCGCACAAGCGGUGGAUCAUGUUGUUUAAUUCGAAGGUACCCGAAAAACCUCACCAGGUCUUGACAUGCUUCUGCAAAGCUGUAGAAACACAGUGGAGGUUAUCAGUUGCACAGGUGGUGCAUGGUUGUCGUCAGCUCGUGUCGUGAGAUGUUGGGUUAAGUCCCGCAACGAGCGCAACCCUUAUUGUUAGUUACCAGCACGUAAUGGUGGGGACUUUAGCAAGACUGCCGGUGAUAAAUUGGAGGAAGGUGGGGACGACGUCAAAUCAUCAUGCCCCUUAUGACCUGGGCUACAAACGUGAUACAAUGGCUGUUACAAAGGGUAGCUGAAACGCAAGUUUUUGGCGAAUCUCAAAAAAACAGUCUCAGUUCGGAUUGAAGUCUGCAACUCGACUUCAUGAAGUUGGAAUCGCUAGUAAUCGCGAAUCAGCAUGUCGCGGUGAAUACGUUCUCGGGGUUUGUACACACCGCCCGUC
rnacentral:rRNA from 1 species